rnacentral:rRNA from 1 species
GGCUCAGGAUAAACGCUAGCGGCAGGCCUAACACAUGCAAGUCGAGCGGCAGCGCGGGAUAGCAAUAUCUGGCGGCGAGCGGCGGACGGGUGAGUAACGCGUAUGCAACCUGCCCCCCACACGGGGAUAGCCGACCGAAAGGACGAUUAACCCCGAUGGCAUCACCUUGAGGCAUCUCGAUGUGAUUAAAUAUUCAUAGGUGGGGGAUGGGCAUGCGUGGCAUUAGUUAGUUGGCGGGGCAACGGCCCAUCAAGACCAUGAUGCCUAUGGGUUCUAGAAGGAAGAUCCCACACAUCGGUACUGAGACACGGACCGAACUCCUACGGGAGGCAGCAGUGAGGAAUAUUGGACAAUGGGGGCAACCCUGAUCCAGCCAAACCGCGUGGGGGGAAAGGAGGUCGUUAAGAUCGUAAACCCCUUUUAUAUGGGAAUAAUCUCCGGCACGCGUGCCGGAUUGCAGGUACCAUUUGAAUAAGCAUCGGCUAACUCCGUGCCAGCAGCAGC